rnacentral:rRNA from 1 species
AACGAACGCUGGCGGCAUGCCUAACACAUGCAAGUCGAACGAGACCUCCGGGUCUAUUGGCGCACGGGUGCGUAGCGCGUCGGAAGCUGCCCUUAUGGUCGGAAUAACUCUCCGAAAGGGGUGCUAAUACCGGAUAAUGUCUUCUGACCAAAGAUUUAUCGCCCUUGGAUGGGCCCGAGUUGGAUUAGCUAGUUGUUAGGGUAAAAGCCUACCAAGGCGACGAUCCCUAGAUGGUCUGAGAGAAUGGUCAGCCACACUGGGACUGAGAAACGGCCCAGACUCCUACGGGAGGGAGGAGUGGGGAAUAUUGCAACACGGGCUGAAGGAUGAACCAGCUCUGCCGGGUGAGCGAUGAAGGCAGUAGGGUUGUAAAGCUCUUUUACCCGGGAUGAUAAUGACAGUACCGGGAGAAUAAGCCCCGGCUAACUACGUG